UAUAAAUAUAUAUUUAUUAUCUACUUAUUGCCCAAAUAUCUCUUUUUCUGAAAUUGACUUAUCUCUCAGCUCUCUCUAUCGCUCAGGUCUCUCUCUCUCUUCGCUAUUUCUCUAUCGCACACUGCUCUCAAUCUCUCUUACGCAGCUCUCUCUCUCUCUCUCUCUGAUGCAGUGCUCUUUCUCCCUCAGCGGUGUGUGUUCAUCGAAGCUCAACUCCAUCAUUCACCUUAAAAAGGCUGGAUUAGCUCUGGGAGAGUUGCGAAAGGAAAAUAAUUUCCUAAGAAGCCUUUGGCUAGUAACUAAUCCACCUUCAAGUCAAGAACAUCUUUUACAUCCUCAACUUUUACAGAAGCCUCUCCGCCCAUUCCUUGCUCGAGGGUAUUUUGA